GCUCCUGCUUACUGUCUCGCUGGAGGAGAAAGAUGUCAAUUAGGGAGAUGAGUGACCAGACGUAGUUUAUUUUAAUGGCUCCAUUGCUAUGCCAUCGUUGUGAGCAUCCUAUGGAUGGACUGGUGUGAUAGGUGAUGGUCACAAAGCCAGAGCCGUCUUCUAAAAAUAGCAGAGCAGGUACAUCUGGCUAAUGAAGCAACGGUGGUCACAGAAGGCUGUAUCCUGACUAAUCAAGGUGAGUUUCUUGUGGCAUGACAUGUGUAAGGAGGAUCAAGAGCU
rnacentral:lncRNA from 1 species